rnacentral:rRNA from 1 species
UACGUAGGUGGCAAGCGUUGUCCGGAUUUCCUGGGCGUAAAGAGCGCGCAGGCGGUCGUUCAAGUCGCGUGUGAAAGCCCCCGGCUCAACUGGGGAGGGUCACGCGAUACUGAUCGACUCGAAGGCAGGAGAGGGUAGUGGAAUUCCCGGUGUAGUGGUGAAAUGCGUAGAUAUCGGGAGGAACACCAGUGGCGAAGGCGACUACCGGGCCGGUUUCUUGACGCUGAGGCGCGAAAGCUAGGGGAGCAAACGGG